rnacentral:rRNA from 1 species
CUUCAUGAACGCGGAGUUGCUAGUAAACGCAGGUCAGCACACUGCGUUGAAUACGUUCCCGGGCCUUGUACACACCGCCCGUCACGUCAUGGAAGUUGGUAAUGCUUGAAGUCGCUGGGUGAACCCUUUGGGGCACAGGCGCCGAAAGUAGAACCGAUGACUGGGACGAAGUCGUAACAAGGUAGCUGUACCGGAAGGUGCGGCUGGAUCACCUCCUUUCUAAGGAGA